UGUAACAGGUAAAGGCUUGCACCGAGAGGACAAUGGCAUGUAUAGGCGUAAUGUGAGGAUUUCGGGGUGUCCGCGGUUAGAGUCCUCUCAGG
rfam:Colinus virginianus strain Texas jcf7180006227043, whole genome shotgun sequence.